UGAAACAGAGCCACGUUCUCUAAUGCAGUUUGAGUCUGGAAUUGUGUGUGUGUGAGGGGGCACAGUCGGGUUUCUCACCUUGGCGCUCUCUCCUCUCUCUCUCUCUCUCUCUCUCUCUCUCUCUCUCUCUCUCAGUGCGCGUGUUCAGUGUGUGUCUGUCUCAUGAACGGAACGGACCGCUGCUGCAUCUGUGAGUUUCAUUCACUAACAGACAACAGGACUAAAUCACAAUCGAUCUGGAUUUAUUUUCCUCACAUCCGCGCUUGAAUGAAGUUUAGCGGAUCAGACGGGAUUCAGAGAUUCAGCGUGCGGAUCUCAUCAGAUUCCCUCCGGGCUGAUCACAUGCGUGUCGACCUGCGGAUCCAAGCAUCAGGAGAGUUUGAGAGUAUCGAGUUUUAUUCCUUCGGUGUCUGUCUGGAACAUGGCACAUAGGAUGCGGAACGGACUGUGACUGCUGAUUCCUCCAGCAGUAGAGGAAGUACGCUUUCUUUGUUUUAAAACAAGAUAAAUAUCACUGUAUCGUAGAAAUGUUUUUCUGCUUUAUAAAUCUAGAAAAGCAUCUGUGCACAGCAACAUUAUAUUAAAUGUUCUUAUUCAAAUCCCCUGGACUCCAACGGCCCAGACUCCCCAAGAAAACAUGAGGAAUCUCAGCAUGUGUUUACCAAGACAAAAUUAGCCCAUCAAAUAACAUCUGCAGUGUAUUUCUGCAUGCACGGCUUUCCUAAAAUGGCUGAAACGUCUAUAAAUGAGCAUUUCUAAACACACUAUUAUUGUUGCUGACUCCCUUAAGUUUUUGCAUCAUGCGUUUGUGCUCUAGAAAUGAAUAAUUCCUUAAAUCGAGUGUGUUGUUGCAAAGAUGUGUUGCUACUUUACUAAGUGAUCAAAUACUCCACUUUUAACUGCAGGCCUAUAAAACAGGCGAAAAAUCCCACAAAUGCACAUUGAAGCCAGAUCUUGAGACUAGAGGGUGAACACUUUUGAUUUGGUUUGUGAGCAAUCACUUAGCAACCCUAGCAACUGCAUAGCGACACUAAAAUCUAAUUAGAACACCUUUGUAACUGCAUAGCAAUGUCCUGGCAUUCACACACAUCAGAGUAACAUCACGGCAGUGAAUUUUACAAAUGAUUGCAAAAAGUAUAAAAAGUAUGAUUGUAAAAUGUAAAGUAGAUACACAUAUUCUACAAUAAUUCACAACUCAUUGAUGUCCCUUUUUUGUGUAGUAUUUGAUCUAGUGCUGUGAGUUUAUUGAUAUAUUUUUGUCUUUUUUACAUUUUAAAAAGGAUAAGCUCUACUUUUCACUGUCUAUUUUUGGAAAUAAGUUUUUUAGGCCCUGUUUUUGUACCUUGUUUUCUUCAGUGCACUUCACUUGGGUUAUGGUAUCAUUGUAAUAACAUCAUUUUUUGAACAUGGUUUCUUUGAAGUACUAUAUGAAUAUUGUUGACAUCUUGUGCCUUUCCAUUUCCAGACACACACUGCCGAGAGUUGGUUCUGGGAAAGUCGUCUAUCCACUGGACGUUUUCUGACCGGGUCGCCUUUCCAAGAUAUCACACGUACUCCAGUCUGAAGAGACGCUACAGCCAUAUUUGUUUAUUUGACUUCCCCCUCUCUCUACCCAUCCAUCUGGAUACGUUUCUUCCCUUCCCCAUUCCACAUUCAU
ensembl:lncRNA